GCGGAGUAAAUCCGCUGGGAUGUAACCGAAAGGUUGAACCGUAAA
rnacentral:ncRNA from 1 species